rnacentral:rRNA from 1 species
UACGUAGGGUGCGAGCGUUAAUUCGGAAUUAACUGGGCGUAAAGCGUGCGCAGGCGGCGCGUUAAGACAGGUGUGAAAGCCCCCGAGCUUUAACUUGGGAAUUGCGCUUGUGACUGGCGUGCUGGAGUGUGGGCAGAGGGAGGUGGAAAUUCCACGUGUAGCAGUGAAAAUGCGUAGAGAUGUGGAGGAACACCGGUGGCGAAGGCGGUCUGCUGGGCAGUUGCUGACACUGAGGCGCGACAGCGUGGGGAGCAAACAGG